GGUGAGUAACACGUUAGUAACCUGCCUUAGACAUUGGGAUAGCCUCGGGAAACCGGGAUUAAUACCAAAUAAAAUCAUAAUGACACAUGUCAUAACGAUCAAAACUCCGGUGGUCUAAGAUGGGCUCGCGUCCCAUUAGCUAGUUGGUAGAGUAAAAGCCUACCAAGGCGACGAUGGGUAGCCGGCCUGAGAGGGUGAACGGCCACAUUGGAACUGAGAAACGGUCCAA
rnacentral:rRNA from 1 species